rnacentral:rRNA from 1 species
ACUCAAAUGAAUUGACGGGGGCUCACACAAGCGGUGGAGCAUGUGGCUUAAUUCGAGGCUACGCGCAGAACCUUAUCCCGGGCUUGACAUGCACGGAUUAGCCGGCGGAAACGUCGGCGAGGCCGCAAGGUACAACGUGCACAGGUGCUGCAUGGCUGUCGUCAGCUCGUGUCGUGAGAUGUUGGGUUAAGUCCCGUAACGAGCGAAACCCCUGUGGUCAGUUGCCAGCGCGUCACGGCGGGGACUCUGACCAGACCGCCGGCGUGAAGCCGGAGGAAGGCGGGGACGACGUCAAGUCCUCAUGGCCCUUAUGCCCGGGGCUGCACACGUGCUACAAUGGGGCGGACAGAGCGCCGCGAGGCCGCGAGGCCGAGCUAAUCGCAAAAACCGCCCCCCAGUUCGGAUUGCGGGCUGCAACCCGCCCGCAUGAAGCCGGAAUCGCUAGUAAUCGCGGAUCAGCACUGCCGCGGUGAAUGUGUUCCUGAGCCUUGCACACACCGCCCGU